UUUCUACUCCCUCUAUUCGGAAUUACUUGUCGCAGAAAUGGAUGUAUCUAGACGUAUUUUAGUUCUAGAUACAUCAAUAUCCGAGACAAGUAACUCCGAACAGAGGGAGUACGUC
rfam:Triticum urartu cultivar G1812 contig1220374, whole genome shotgun sequence.